rnacentral:rRNA from 1 species
GAAUAUUGGACAAUGGGCGCAAGCCUGAUCCAGCCAUACCGCGUGGGUGAAGAAGGCCUUCGGGUUGUAAAGCCCUUUUGUUGGGAAAGAAAUCCAGCCGGCUAAUACCUGGUUGGGAUGACGGUACCCAAAGAAUAAGCACCGGCUAACUUCGUGCCAGCAGCCGCGGUAAUACGAAGGGUGCAAGCGUUACUCGGAAUUACUGGGCGUAAAGCGUGCGUAGGUGGUUUGUUAAGUCUGAUGUGAAAGCCCUGGGCUCAACCUGGGAAUGGCAUUGGAUACUGGCAGGCUAGAGUGCGGUAGAGGGUAGUGGAAUUCCCGGUGUAGCAGUGAAAUGCGUAGAGAUCGGGAGGAACAUCUGUGGCGAAGGCGACUACCUGGACCAGCACUGACACUGAGGCACGAAAGCGUGGGGAGCAAACAGG